AUACCACAUUUUAGAGAAUUACACAUGAAACCUCCACAUUAGGAAGCAUGUAGAAAGUAUAAUACCAUAGUAGUGGUGUUAUAGCAUCUUGACGUGAUGUUUUGAUGUUGCGUUUUGAAGCAGAACAAACCAAACUAAUCCUUCCACAAAAUCAUUUUCAUAAUUACCAGCCAGAUAUAUGAAAGCAAAGGAGGCUAUAACACUAUUUUCAACAUC
rnacentral:lncRNA from 1 species